AGCUCCUACGGGACGCAGCAGUGGGGAAUAUUGCACAAUGGGGGAAACCCUGAUGCAGCAACGCCGCGUGAGUGAAGAAGGUUUUCGGAUUGUAAAGCUCUGUUAGCAGGGAAGAGGAAGGACAGUACCUGCAGAGGAAGCCACGGCUAACUACGUGCCAGCAGCCGCGGUAAUACGUAGGUGGCAAGCGUUGUUCGGAAUAACUGGGCGUAAAGGAUACGUAGGCGGUUAAACAAGUUAUAUGUUAAAUAUAUAGGCUUAAC
rnacentral:rRNA from 1 species